AUAUUGGUGUCUGACGUAAGUGAAAAAUUGUAAAUUUUUUUAGGGUAUUUUAUAACCUCAAUAUA
rnacentral:tRNA from 1 species